rnacentral:lncRNA from 1 species
CUAGCCAAUAGCUCUGGAAAGAAAAGCUAACACAUUCAUGAAUUAUCCUUGAAUUUUGUGCUUUAAUUUAAAAUUAUUUGUUAAAGUCAUGCUUGACUUCACCGUGAGAGUUCUGACUGGCUAACUUUGGCUACCUGGUAAAAAUUCAAUGAAGUUAAAGAUGCAUCUAGAAGAAGUUGGGUCAUCUCUGCAGAAGUCUUGGCUGGCUGAAGUCCCUUAAUCUGGUUACUUGGCCCAAGGGACAUGUAGUUACUUUAGAGCUGCUUCUGUCUUUUUCCACCUCCCGUGUGUGCUCAGCCAAGUUUCCAGCGCCUUCUUGAGGCCCCUGCAAACUCUUUAGUGCCUGCUGCUGCUGUCCCAUUUUGUCCUCACAUCGCUAUGUUAACUGCCUCAGAGUUGAGGGAGACCCCAGGAUUGGAAUCAUUGUAUAUCGACCCCUGUAUGUCCAAGGUAUGCGUGCUAUUCAGCUUCACUAAAGAAGAGACAGUGUUUGUUGCCUUGCCUUUGUAAAAAUAGGUAAUCUUUUAAAGAAAAAUGUCAAGGAUGAUAGAAUGCAAAAUUCUAAGGAGAAUAGUUGAUCUGUGGUCUCACAGCCACCCACCCCCAUCUUAGACAUUCCCAGUCACAUGAGUGCUCAGGGCCUUUGUCCCACCACAGCCCUCUCCCAUCUGUUUUCCCUGCCUCCUUUCUUUCUCC